UGCGUAGGCGGACUAAUAAGUCAGUGGUGAAAUCUUUCGGCUCAACCGAGAAACUGCCAUUGAUACUGUUAGUCUUGAGUUCGGUUGAGGUAGGCGGAAUGUGUAAUGUAGCGGUGAAAUGCUUAGAUAUUACACAGAACACCAAUUGCGUAGGCAGCUUACUAGACCGACACUGACGCCGAGGCACGAAAGCGUGGGGAGCGAACAGGAUUAGAUCCCUGGUAGUCC
rnacentral:rRNA from 1 species